AACUAACGCUGGCGGCAUGCCUAACACAUGCAAGUCGAACGAGGCCUUCGGGCUUAGUGGCGCACGGGUGCGUAACGCGUGGGAAUCUGCCCUUGGGUUCGGAAUAACAGUUAGAAAUGACUGCUAAUACCGAAUGAUGUCUUCGGACCAAAGAUUUAUCGCCCAAGGAUGAGCCCGCGUCGGAUUAGCUAGUUGGUGAGGUAAAGGCUCACCAAGGCGACGAUCCGUAGCUGGUCUGAGAGGAUGAUCAGCCACACUGGGACUGAGACACGGCCCAGACUCCUACGGGAGGCAGCAGUGGGGAAUAUUGGACAAUGGGCGAAAGCCUGAUCCAGCAAUGCCGCGUGAGUGAUGAAGGCCUUAGGGUUGUAAAGCUCUUUUACCCGGGAUGAUAAUGACAGUACCGGGAGAAUAAGCCCCGGCUAACUCCGUG
rnacentral:rRNA from 1 species